CCACUGUGUAAAACACUACUUAAAAUUUAAAUAGCUGAACAAUGAUUCACAUCAAGUGUAAGGACAUAAAUUUAGAUCCUUUACCUGUUAAGAUUGGUAUAAUUGGUGGAAGUGGUCUCGAUGAUCCAGAUAUCUUGGAAAAUCGUAAGGCAACCGAAAUCGACACACCCUAUGGCGCUCCUUCCGAUGCUUUGAUAGAGGGUGAAAUUGCUGGCGUAAAAUGUGUUUUAUUGGCACGACACGGACGUAAGCACAACAUAAUGCCAAGUAAUGUAAAUUAUCGUGCCAAUAUAUGGGCCAUGCGUCAAGUGGGUUGUACACAUUUGAUAGUAUCAACUGCUUGUGGUUCACUACGUGAAGAAAUUCGUCCAGGUGACUUAGUCAUGCCAAAUGAUUUUAUUGAUCGCACAACAAAGCGUUCACAAACAUUUUUCGAUGGUGGUGGACAGAGUCCACAAGGUGUCUGCCAUUUGAGCAUGUAUCCUUCGUUCAGUGAACGUGUAAGGGAAGUGCUUAUUGCCACUGCCAAAGAACUAGACUAUAAUGUACAUGAAAAGGCAACUAUUGUCACUAUUGAAGGCCCACGGUUUUCCUCACGUUCUGAGAGUAACAUGUUCCGACAAUGGGGUGGUGAUCUUAUUAACAUGACCACAUGCCCUGAAGUGGUGUUGGCUAAAGAGGCUGGCCUUUUAUAUGGCUCCGUUGCUAUUGCAACUGAUUACGAUUGUUGGCGUAUGGGUUGCGAGGGUGUUAAUGUUCAAGAUGUGCUUAAAACCUUCGGCGAGAAUGUUAUCAAAGUAAAGAAUAUACUUGUGAAGGCCGUGCAGAAUAUAGCUAAACAAGACUGGAGCGAAGACAUUUUAAAUGCCAAGGAUUGUGUAUGCAAGAAUACAAUGUCCGGUGCAAUGUGACGCUUUUUACUAUUGUGCAAUGAAAUCACCAGCGAAAUUAUACAAAACAAAAAACCAUUAGUUUCUGCUUAUGAUAUGAUCCCAGACCCAAAGAGGCAAAGAAAAACGCAAACACUUCAAGAGUCGGAUACAGAGUAAUAUUUGGAUUUUUUUGACCAACAUUAUAAACACAAGUUCUUUAUAAAAUGCAUUUAAUAUUUCCACAUA
rnacentral:misc_RNA from 1 species